UACGUAGGGGGCAAGCGUUGUUCGGAAUUACUGGGCGUAAAGGGCGCGUAGGCGGCACGGCAAGUCGGGAGUGAAAGCCCGGGGCUCAACCCCGGAGGGUCUCUCGAAACUGCCGAGCUAGAGUGCGGAAGAGGCAAUCGGAAUUCCCAGUGUAGCGGUGAAAUGCGUAGAUAUUGGGAAGAACACCGGAGGCGAAGGCGGAUUGCUGGGCCGACACUGACGCUGAGGCGCGAAAGCCAGGGGAGCAAACAGGG
rnacentral:rRNA from 1 species